UUGGGUGGCGAUAGCGAAGAGGUCACACCCGUUCCCAUACCGAACACGGAAGUUAAGCUCUUCAGCGCCGAUGGUAGUUGGGGGUUUCCCCCUGUGAGAGUAGGACGCCGCCAAGC
rnacentral:rRNA from 1 species